rnacentral:rRNA from 1 species
GCGAACGGGUGAGUAAUACAUCGGAACGUGUCCUGUAGUGGGGGAUAGCCCGGCGAAAGCCGGAUUAAUACCGCAUACGCUCUACGGAGGAAAGGGGGGGAUCUUAGGACCUCCCGCUACAGGGGCGGCCGAUGGCAGAUUAGCUAGUUGGUGGGGUAAAGGCCUACCAAGGCGACGAUCUGUAGCUGGUCUGAGAGGACGACCAGCCACACUGGGACUGAGACACGGCCCAGACUCCUACGGGAGGCAGCAGUGGGGAAUUUUGGACAAUGGGGGAAACCCUGAUCCAGCAAUGCCGCGUGUGUGAAGAAGGCCUUCGGGUUGUAAAGCACUUUUGUCCGGAAAGAAAACCUCUGCCCUAAUAUGGCGGGGGGAUGACGGUACCGGAAGAAUAAGCACCGGCUAACUACGUGCCAGCAGCCGCGGUAAUACGUAGGGUGCAAGCGUUAAUCGGAAUUACUGGGCGUAAAGCGUGCGCAGGCGGUCCGCUAAGACAGAUGUGAAAUCCCCGGGCUUAACCUGGGAACUGCAUUUGUGACUGGCGGGCUAGAGUAUGGCAGAGGGGGGUAGAAUUCCACGUGUAGCAGUGAAAUGCGUAGAGAUGUGGAGGAAUACCGAUGGCGAAGGCAGCCCCCUGGGCCAAUACUGACGCUCAUGCACGAANGCGUGGGGAGCAANCAGGAUUAGAUACCCUGGUAGUCCACGCCCUAANCGAUGUCAACUAGUUGUUGGGGAUUCAUUUCCUUAGUAACGAAGCUAACGCGUGAAGUUGACCGCCUGGGGAGUACGGUCGCAAGAUUAAAACUCAANGGAAUUGACGGGGACCCGCACAAGCGGUGGAUGAUGUGGAUUAAUUCGAUGCAACGCGAAAANCCUUACCUACCCUUGACAUGUAUGGAACCUGGCUGAGAGGUCGGGGUGCCCGAAAGGGAGCCAUAACACAGGUGCUGCAUGGCUGUCGUCAGCUCGUGUCGUGAGAUGUUGGGUUAAGUCCCGCAACGAGCGCAACCCUUGUCCCUAGUUGCUACGCAAGANCACUCUAGGGAGACUGCCGGUGACAAACCGGAGGAAGNNGGGGAUGACGUCAAGUCCU